rnacentral:rRNA from 1 species
GACUGCUAAUACCGGAUGUGCCGAGAGGUGAAAGAUUUAUUGCCUGAAGAUGAGCUCGCGUCUGAUUAGCUAGUUGGUGAGGUAAGAGCGCACCAAGGCGACGAUCAGUAGCUGGUUUGAGAGGAUGAUCAGCCACACUGGGACUGAGACACGGCCCAGACUCCUACGGGAGGCAGCAGUGGGGAAUUUUCCGCAAUGGGCGAAAGCCUGACGGAGCAAUACCGCGUGAGGGAGGAAGGCUCUUGGGUCGUAAACCUCUUUUCUCAAGGAAGAAAGAUGACGGUACUUGAGGAAUAAGCAUCGGCUAACUCCGUGCCAGCAGCCGCGGUAAUACGGAGGAUGCAAGCGUUAUCCGGAAUGAUUGGGCGUAAAGGGUCCGCAGGUGGAACUGAAAGUCUGCUGUUAAAGAAUUUGGCUCAACCAGAUAAAAGCAGUGGAAACUACAGAACUAGAGUAUGGUAGGGGUAGAAGGAAUUCCUAGUGUAGCGGUGAAAUGCGUAGAUAUUAGGAAGAACACCGGUGGCGAAAGCGUUCUACUAGACCAAGACUGACACUGAGGGACGAAAGCUAGGGGAGCGAAUGGGAUUA